rnacentral:rRNA from 1 species
CGCCAGACUCCUACGGGAGGCAGCAGUGGGGAAUAUUGCACAAUGGGGGAAACCCUGAUGCAGCGACGCCGCGUGAGUGAAGAAGUAUUUCGGUAUGUAAAGCUCUAUCAGCAGGGAAGAAAAUGACGGUACCUGACUAAGAAGCCCCGGCUAACUACGUGCCAGCAGCCGCGGUAAUACGUAGGGGGCAAGCGUUAUCCGGAUUUACUGGGUGUAAAGGGAGCGUAGGCGGCAUGGCAAGUCAGAUGUGAAAGCCCGGGGCUCAACCCCGGGACUGCAUUUGAAACUGUCAGGCUGGAGUGCAGGAGGGGUAAGUGGAAUUCCUAGUGUAGCGGUGAAAUGCGUAGAUAUUAGGAGGAACACCAGUGGCGAAGGCGGCUUACUGGACUGUAACUGACGUUGAGGCUCGAAAGCGUGGGGAGCAAACAGGAUUAGAUACCCGCGUAGG